ACCGUUAAAUACUUAAAUUGGCCAAUAUGCCAUUACACCAGAAUUUUAUGAAUCUACUAAGUUAUAAAUAUUUUUUAAUUUUUUUGGCUCCUUUCAGUGUGACUAAUAUCACUACUACUGCCCUCUAUAUUCACAUAACUUUUUAAAUCUACAGUUUCUACCAUUUGGGAGCACCCUAUACUAUCAGUAAUUAAAUCUACAUCAAAACUAUUAAGUUCAGCAAAAAUACUGAAAUUAUUGUCGGGCGGUCCGGACUGGCCGGAGCAAUACUUGCAAGUAUAUUUUGUUUCUGACUCCUCCAGCUGCUGUUCCAAGUUCCUGGAUGCGUUGUAAUGCCUGCUCAUGUAUCUCCUGGCAAUUCCUGAACUGAUCAACAGCGGCUUGAAGUUCAUCCCGCUGACCCUGCAUGUCUUCAUACUCAAUAUCGUGAUUAGCGAGCUGAGUUUUAAGGGUUGUGUUUGUUCUAACAACACACUCAAAUUGCUGUUCACUCUCUUCCUGUUCUUGAAGGAGUCUUUUGUUCAACUCAGUGGCGGUUUUGAGUUCCUUCUGUAAUUGCUGCAUUUUAGCAACCAGGACAUCCCUGCGAGUAGUCAUCUUAGUAGUUUGUGCUGCAAACAUAUUCAUAAUGUAAAAUAUCUGACUCGCUAUACACAUUUUGGAAAGAUAAACUUCUUAGGCUGUCCUUAAAUUUGUGUACAUUUUCGUCGGAGUAGUCUUUAUUAAGAAUGGCGACAGUUUUCAGUAGAACAGGCCUUCUUUCAGGCUUAAAUGAGAACAAUUGGGCUGUAUCGUGGUCAGAGAGCCCUAAGGGGGAUAACUGUGCCAGUACUGUAAUUAAUAUUACUGAUGAUGUGAUCCAGGCACGCAUUUGGUCUUGUCGGUUUUUCUAUAUGGUCGCAAAAGUUGAAGUUUUUAAUUAUAUCUAAUAACUCGCAACUGUAUUUAUUAGUUUUAAGUGUAUCGAUAUUAAGGUCCCCUGUUAAUAUAAAUUUCUUUCUGGGGUAUCUUCUUGACAAUAUAAAUAGUAGUAACCUUAAUUUCUCAAAGAAUAAACUCAAGCAAGAUGACGGUGUUCUAUAGAUACAUACUAUUAUUAAAUUUAUGGACGCGAAAUCUCUACAGCACAGCAUUCAAAGGAGAACAUUUCAGCUAGAUCGUUUAUCGGUUUAACAGUUUUAUGUCUAAGACCUUUCCUUAUGGGGAUACAAGAGCCUCCUCUUUUACUUUUCCUAGAGAAAUGUGAUGCUAGUUCAUAAUGCCGCAACAAGAUGUUUCUUUCCUCACCGGACCUAAUAAAUGUCUCAGUUAGGCAGAUUACAUCUACGCUUAUACUUGAAUCACAUAGUUCUGAUAAACAUAAUUCUAGAUGAUCUUUUUUAUAUAAGAAGCUUGCAAUAUUUUGAUGCAAUACACUAAAACCUUUAUUCACGAAAAAAGUCUUCAUUUGGUUGUCCUGGCGGCGAAGUUGGCUGCUCGAUACUGUCCCGAAUAACUGACUCUCCCUCGCCCCGCGGCACGGAGGGUGAAUGAUUUGCUAUUGAGCUGUUAGAUGUUUUUUUUGAGAAGUAGUCUGAGAUUUUUCUUUGUACGUGCCUAUCCCUAGGUGAUUCUAAAUGGUAAUCUGUCUGCCGUGCUGCGCCAUUACUGGCAAUAAAUUGUCCCAGAUGACGUAUAAUAUUGGCCAUCCCGCGAUCACUUAGUCGUCCUGUCUUGCUAGAGAACAUAUCAAGCGAUAGAUCAAGGUUCGAAUCGAAUGAAAAGUGUUUAUCGUGAUGGGUCUCACUGCUACAUAACAAGGCGUUAAAGUUCUCGAUUCUGUAGUUGUAGAGGGUUCUGACACCUUAGCACAUUCCAAGUCAAAAUAAAACAGACAAAUAGCGCACUUUAGAUAGUCUCGAGUUGGUAUUUCUAGUUCACACGUAGCACAUAUCUUUUUAACAUGCUUUGAGCUCAUUUUUGUAUUCUUAUAUUUUUAUAGUACAAAAAGCCACAAUGUCCGUGCUGAGAUUUGAACCGGGUCCACUAUGACUGUGCUUCCGUAGUCACUGCCUUGUAGCUAUACGCCGCCGAGACGAUGACGUAGAAGGCGAAAGUUUGCAACACUUAUUGUCACUUCACUAAGUCUCAUCGCAUGACGAUUACAUGAUGACGUAUUGCCGAAGCCACACGGUAACACACGAAGUUUAACUGCGAGCACUCACGAUUGUUAUGCCCACCUUGCACCGCCG